rnacentral:lncRNA from 1 species
GAAUUAGAUUGUUAAAUAUUAUUAUUUAAAUUUUUUGUUGUAGUUGCAGUUUUUGAGACCAGGUCUUGCUCUGUUGCUUGGGCUGGAGUGCAGUGUUGCGAUUAUGGCUCACUGCAGCCAUGAACUCCUGGACUCAAGUGAUCAUCCCACCUCAGCCUCUGAGUAGCUGGGACUACAGGUGCACAUCACCACAUCUGGCUAAUUUGGUGGGGGGGUGGCUAGAUACGGGGUCUUUCUUUAUUACCCAGGCUGGUCUCAAACUUCUGACCUCAAGCAAUCCUCCUACCUCAGCCUCCCAAAGUGGUAGGGCUUGAGUCACCAUGCCCAGCCAAAUUGUUCAAUAUCCAAGACAACCACUAAGAAAAUAACUAAAAGAAAAGAAAAGAAGGGAAUCAAAAGAAAAAAAGAGAAUCAAAAUGGGGCACUAGAAAAUAUUUAACACAAUAGAAGGCAAUAAUGAAGGAGUUGAGGAACAAAAAAACAAAAAUAUAUAAUGCAUAUAAAAAAUAGCAAAAUGGGAAUAAAUCCUUAUCAGUAAUUACAUUAACUGUAAAUGGAUUGAAUUAUCCAAUUGAAAGGCAGAGAUUAGUAGAAUUGAUUUUUUUUAAAAAAAACAUGAUCCAGUGCUCACUUCAGCAGCACAUAUACUAAAAUUGGAAUGAUACAGAGAAGAUUAGCGUGGCCCCUGUGCAAGGUUGACAUGCAAAUUUGUGAAGCUUUCCAUUAUAAAAUUAAAAAAUUAAAAAAAAACCCCACAUGAUCCAACUAUAUAUGCUGUCUACAAGAGCUUCGCUUUAGCUCAAAUGACCCAAAUUGUUGAAAGUGAAAGGAUGGAAGAUAUUCCAGGCUAGGGGCAGUGACUCACGCCUGUAAUUCCAGCCCUUUGGUAGGCUGAAGUGGGAGGAUUUCUUGAGGCCAGGAGUUCAAGACCAGCUUGGGCAACGAAGUUAUGCUAUCUACUAAAACAAACAAACAAACAAAAAAACCUGGUAUGGUGGCACACACCUGUAGUCCCAGCUACUCAGGAAGCUAAGGUGGGAGGAUGGAUCCCUUCGGCCCAGGAGUUUGAGGCUGCAGCCACUGCACUCCAGCUUGAGUGACAAGGGACUCUGUAUUUAAAUACUACAUAUAUUCCAUGAAAACUAACAAAAAGAGGGCUGGAGUGGAUAUCCUAAUAUUAUAAAAAAUAGACCUCAAGGCAAAAAUUGUUACAAGGGACAAAGAGAAACAUUUUGUAAUGAUAAAAGGUUCAAUUCAUCAAGAAGAUAUAACAAUUAUAUAUUUCACCUAACAGGAGAGUCCUCAAAGUAUUUGAAGCAAAAAUGGACAGAAUUCAAAGUAGAAACAGGCCAGCAAGAAUAGCUGGAAAUAUCGGCUGAGCACAGUGGCUCAUGCUUCUAAUCCCAGCACUUUGGGAGGCCGAGGUGGGCAGAUCACCUGAGGUCAGGAAUUCAAAACCAGUCUGCCCAACAUGGUAAAACCCUGUCUCUACUAAAAAUACAAAAUUUAGCUGGGCAUGGCAGUGUGUGCCUGUAAUCCCAGCUAUUUGGGAGGCUGAGGCAGGAGGAUGGCUUGAACCUGGGAGGUGGAGGUUGCGGUGAGCCAAGAUUGUGCUACUGCUCUCCAGCCUGGUAACAGAGCAAGACUCUGUCUCAAAAAAUAAAAAAAAGUAAUAAAUAAAUAAAUAAAUAAAUAAAAAGAAUAGUUGGAAACGUCAAUACUUCACUUUCAAUAAUGGCUAGAACUACACACUAGAUAAGGACAUAGAAGACUUGAACAGUGCUAACUCUACCCAACCAUAGCAGAAUAUACAUUCUUCUCAAAGUACACAUAAAACAUUCCCCAGGAUAGACCAUAUGUUAGACCACAAAAUAAGUCUUAAUAAAUUUUAAAGAAUUGAAAUCAUAUGAAUUAUCUUUCCAACCACAAAGGAAUGAAAUUAGAAAUAACAGAAUUAAAAGUGAAAAAUUCACAAAUAUGUGGGAAUUAAGCAACACACUCUUAACUGCCCCACGGAUCAAAGAAAAAAUCACAAGAGAAAUUAGAUGAGAUGAAUGAAAAUGAAAAUACAGCAUACCAAAACUUAUCGAAUACAGCAAAAGCAGUACUCAAAGGGAAAUUUAUAGCUGUAAAAACCUACAUCAAAGAGAAGAAAGAUCUCCAAUUAAUAACCUAAACUUCCAAUUUAAGGAACUAGAAAAAGUAGAAUAAACUAAACCCAAAGCAAGCAAAAGAAAGAAUAAAAAUUAAGAGUGGAGAUAAAUGAAAUAGAAAAGAGAAAAACAACAGAAAGAAUCAAUGAAAACAAAAGUUGAUUCUUCAAAAAGAUCAAGAAAAUUGAUGAAACUUUAGACUGACCAAAAAAAAAAAAAGAAGACUCAAAUUACUAAAGUUAGGAAUAAGGCUGGAGUGGCUCACGCCUGUAAUCUGAGCACUUUUGGAGGCCAGUGCGGGGGAAUUGUUUGAGCUCAGGAGUUCAAGACCGGCUUGGGCAACAUAAGGAAACCUUGUCUCUGCUAAAAAUAAAAUAUUAAAAAAUUAGCCAGGUGUGGUGGCACAUGUCUGUAGUCCCAGUUAUUUGAGAGGCUGAGGCAGGAGGAUUACUUGAGCCCAGGAGAUUGAGGCUGCAGUGAACUAUGAUCUUGCCACUGCACUCCAGCCUGGGCAACAGGGUGAGACUCUGUCUCAAAAAAAAAAAAAGGAACGAAAGUAGAAAAAUUACUACUAGCUGGACAUGGUGUCUCGUGCCUGUAGUCCUAGCUACUGGGGAGGUUGAGGCAGGAGGAUUGCCUUGAGCCCAGGAGUUCAAAGCUGCAGUGAGCUAUGAUCGUACCACUUCUCUCCAUCCUGGGUGAUAGAGCAAGAUGCUGUCUCUAAAGUAAAUACAUAGGCUGGGUGCAGUAGCUCACGCCUGUAAUCCCAGCACUUUGG